UAGCCUGAAAUGAUGAGUUUGGUUCAUGUCUCUUCUCUGAGAUUUAUGCUGGAGACAGUCCAAUGAGACUGAUCAGGCGC
ensembl:snoRNA